rnacentral:rRNA from 1 species
GUCUAUGGCCAUACCACCCUGAACGCGCCCCAUCUUGUCUGAUCUCAGAAGCUAAGCAGAGUCGGAUCUGGUUAGUACUUGGAUGGGAGAAGUAAUUAUGUUUAGAUG